AUUCUCUCAUCUCUCUCACUCUCUUACCCUAGCCGCCUACCACCACAACAAGCUACCCCUGGCGGUGGCACCACUCCACACCACCCCAAAAUGUCACCCUAUAAUCCUCAUCCUUUCCUCAGUUCAAAUCCCAUAACCAUUUUGCCCCUUUCCGAUUUUCUUCCGUAAGUUUAAUUCGACUUGGCUCGAAAUUUACGUUGAUUGAUUGCUCUUGACAAGAGCAAUCUAUUAGCGUUAAUUUUGGACCAUUUCGAAGUCAUUGAGAUUCGGUCAAUUCGUGAUUGACUGGCCAGUUUUUAUCCUCGUCCAUUGCUCGCCGGAAUUUCUGUUUGACUACCUGUUGGGAGUGGAAGGUAUAUCUUCUGAGUUGGUAUGUUCUCAUUUGUUUUAGGUCUAUUUGAUGAAUUGUUCUGACCGUCUCUGUUUAGGAUUAAUUAAGGCAUUGUUUGAAUUAUUUCUGAAUUCCUGAAAGUUUUCUCAUGUGAUUAAGUAUCAUCGAGCGUGUUUAGGAGUUUAAUCCUGUUUAGUUUGUGAAUUCUGUUGACUCCAGGUUUGAACUAUUACUCCUCUACUAAAGUGAUAAAUCAAAUGUCUUGACUUGGUGAUGAGAUUUGAUUAAGGGUGCUGAUAGAAUUAAAAGAAAGUUAAGGAGAAAGAGUAAAAAACAGUAAUUUAAGGGGGUAAUUGGGAAAGCAAAAUAGGGAAUCUUAGGUAGCUAUGUAGUAAGCUUCUAUAAAGGGAUUAAAAUGCAAUAAGAUAAGGAAAAUUAGGUCAAAUUUAGGGUAAAAAGGGGUAAAUUCAGAAGUUAAAGGGGCUGUUAAAAGAGGAAGGAAUAACCUGAAUGGACAGCUGUCCAAAAAUCUGUUAAAAAAUAGAUGCUUCUUUCCUAUUUUUCAGCUGACAGAUUCUCUCACACAUUCCCUCAUUUUUCUACAUUAAAGACUCACUCACACACUCAUUUUGAGGCAUCUUUUAUCUCUGUAUUCUUUAGAAAAACACACUGAUUCUCUGCAGCAUUCCCACGCAUAUUCCCUCAUCCUCGCUGAUUUCUCUCAAAGAAAACACUCUGAAAUUCAAUUUAGAUACAGAAAAAAAAAAGAUUCAAAGCUGUUUCUAAUUCCUACUCUGUUGCUGCAUAUCUCUUGGAUUUCCAUAGCUGUUUGAGUUGAAGAAUUCAUUGUUUUUGCUGCUGUAUUCAUUCUGCUGUGGUUGAGCUGUAGCUUUGAAAUUCAGAUUUCUCUUUGUUUCUCUGUUGCUGUUUCUCUGCUGGUAGCAUAAUGGUCGAACUUAGCGAGUGAGGAUAGCUUUGUAGAUAUUUUGUCUAACAAGCCAAAAGGAUCACAAGAUGUGGCGAGUUGUUAGUGAUUAUAGAGAACCAUCAGUUUAUUUAAAUAUGUAACUAGCUUAAAACAUCAUUCUAAUGUAUAUGUAUCCUAUUUUAGGUUUUCAGAUGUAUGAAUUAGUUGUCAAUUGUAUUUAAAUAUAGCAUCAGUUCAGUUUAUUAAAAGUGUUUAAUCAUGGUUCAAUUAGUUUAGUGGAUAUUGUGCCUACUUUUAUUUUUGGGCCAACCA